UUAUCUUUUAUCAGAUUAGAUUUUGUUAGGAGUUUUCUUAUCAUAGUGAAAGUAACUUUUCAUGUACCACAAUCGAUUGAAUUUACCUGAAAUUGUUCUCGAUUUCUAUACCCAAAGUAUUAAGAUGGAUAGUACGACUUUAAGUAUUGGGAUACGAGCUGGGCAGUAUGUAGUACAAGUGGCGGCUACUGGAGGUGUGGCAUAUGUAUUGGCUGGUACAAUAACAGUUGGGAUCAUCUGUGGGAUUUGUUAUGUUGGCUAUAAAUAUGUGCAUCAAAAGAACGAAGCCCAUAAGAAUAAAUAAAUUGUUUUAUGUAUUUUUUCCUAGGCCAAUAAAAAAAUGGUAAAUUA